CCUACGGGAGACAGCAGUGAGGAAUAUUGGUCAAUGGACGAGAGUCUGAACCAGCCACGUAGCGUGAAGGAUGACUGCCCUAUGGGUUGUAAACUUCUUUUAUAUGGGAAUAAAAUGUUCCACGUGUGUGAUUUUGUAUGUACCAUAUGAAUAAGGAUCGGCUAACGCCGGGCCAGCAGCCGCGGUAAUAUGGAGGAUCCGAGCGUUAUCCGGAUUUGUUGGGUUUAACGGGAGCGUAGGUGGAUUGUUAAGUCAGUUGUGAAAGUUUGCGGCUCAACCGUAGAAUUGCAGUUGAAACUGGCAGUCUUGAGUACAGUAGAGGAGGGCGGAAUUCGAGGUGUAGCGGUGAAAUGCUUAGAUAUCACGAAGAACUCCGAUUGCGAAGGCAGUUCACUGGACUGCAACUGACACUGAGGCUCGAAAGUGUGGGUAGCAAACAGGAUUAGAUACCCCUGUAGUC
rnacentral:rRNA from 1 species